UUCGCAAUGCCCGAAAGGGUGACGAAGCGACGCCGCGUGGGUGAGGAAGGCCUUCGGGUUGUAAAGCCCUGUCAGGAGUUAAGAAAUGUAAGUGUGCUAAUAUCGCAUUUACUUGACGAAGGCUCCAAAGGAAGUCACGGCUAACUCUGUGCCAGCAGCCGCGGUAAUACAGAGGUGGCAAGCGUUGUUCGGAAUUAUUGGGCGUAAAGAGCACGUAGGUGGGUUUGUAAGUCAGAUGUGAAAGCCUCCUGUUCAACGGGAGAAUUGCAUCUGAAACUACUGAUCUUGAGUGUAGGAGGGGAGAGUGGAACUUCUGGUGGAGCGGUGAAAUGCGUAGAUAUCAGAAGGAACGUCGGCGGCGAAAGCGACUCUCUGGCCUAUUACUGACACUGAGUGUGCGAAAGUUAGGGGAGCAAACGGGAUUAGAUACCCCGGUAGUCCUAGCCGUAAACGAUGGGCACUAAGUAGAGGGGUUUU
rnacentral:rRNA from 1 species